rnacentral:rRNA from 1 species
CAGCAGUAGCCGCGGGAAUACGUAGGUGGCGAGCGUUGUCCGGAAUCGUUGGGCGUAAAGGGAGCGCAGGCGGGCAUGUAAGUCUUUCUUAAAAGUUCGGGGCUCAACCCCGUGAUGGGAAAGAAACUACAUGUCUUGAGUACAGGAGAGGAAAGCGGAAUUCCCAGUGUAGCGGUGAAAUGCGUAGAUAUUGGGAGGAACACCAGUGGCGAAGGCGGCUUUCUGGACUGCAACUGACGCUGAGGCUCGAAAGCCAGGGGAGCGAACGGGAUUAGAGACCCCAGUAGUCCCUGUCUCUUAUACA